rnacentral:lncRNA from 1 species
UUUGUCUACAUGUAUGUCUGUACCACCUAUGUAUCAAUAGAGGCCAGAAAGGAUGUUAGGGCCCCUGAAACUGGAGUUAUACAUGGUUAUAAGCUGCCAUGUUCUUUUGUUUUUGUUUUUUGUUUUUUGUUUUUUCAAGAUAGGGUUUCUCUGUGUAGCCCUGGCUGUCCUGGAACUCACUAUGUAGACCAGGCUGGCCUCGAACUCAGAAAUCCGCCUGCCUCUGCCUCCCGAGUGCUGGGAUUAAAGUCCUGUGCCACCAUGCCAGGCAUAUAAGCUGCCAUGUUGGUGCUGGGGGCUGGAUCCAGUUCUCUGAAAGAACAUCUGGUACUCUAACCACUGAACCAUCUCUCCAGCUCCCAGAGCCCUAUGUCAUUAAUGUUUUAUAGCUGUACUUCUGAUAUCCAUGUGGUUAGUUCGAGAGAGUUAGUUCUGUCCAUGGUGUAAAGUAGUGGCUCCACCUCAUUCUUUGGGAUGUGUCCAUCCAGUGGCCUCAGCAUCAAUUGUCUAUGAUUCUAUUCUUUGUUGAGUGGUCUUGGUACCUUUAUUGAAAAUAAAUUGGCUGUUGAUAUAUGGUUUUGCUUUUGGAGUGUGCUGCGGUUUGCCAAGCUAGAAGGGAAGAUUCAGGUAAGUCUGUUGCUGUUAGACAUGGAACUAAAUAAAGGAUUUGGAGUUUACCCUGUUGGUCUUGCUUUGGUCCAAUAUUUCUUCACUGUGUCCCCAUUUCUCCCUUUUGGAAUGACAGUGUAUAUUCUGUGUCAUUGCCUGUUGGAGGUUUGUAAUUUGUUUUUGUUUGUUUGUUUUUGAUCUUACACAGUGUAUAGUUAAGAGGUAGUCUUGCAUCUUAGAAGAGUCCUUGGACUUUGAAAUUGUUUUGACUGUGAAAGAUGAUGGGGACUUUUGAAUUUGUGUGCAGUGUCUGUGGAGGCCAAUAGAGGAUGAUAGAUGGCCAAGAAAUGUCUAAUGCUGGGAUCCAAACCUGGACCCUCAGCAGAAACAGUUCUCUUUCUUAACCACUGGGCCAUUUCUCUAGCCCCCCAAACUGAUCUUUAUGUGUUUAUCUUCUGCCUGUGUCUGCCUAGUUUUUAUUGACUUGGUAGGCUUUUGUGUUGGAAGGGUGUCAUGCCAUCUAAAAAGAGAACGUUUUACCUAUACUUCCUGCUUUAUUGUUUUGGCAAACUUUUUUUUUUCCUAGACAGGGCUUCUCUGUGUACCCUUGUCUGUCCUGAAACUUGCUCUAUAGACCAGACUGGCCUUGAACUCCCAGACAUCCACCUGCCUCUGCCUCCCAUGUGCUGGGAUUAAGGUGUACACCACUAAGCUUCUGCCUCCUCAAGUGUUGAGCUCAAAGGCAUGCACCACCACACCUGUCCUGACCUGGUGAGCCUUUAAAGCAAUGUUGACUAACUGUGAAGGAAAAAGGUUUUCUUUCUGCCUGCUUUUGAUCUUCAUGAAUAAGCUUUGAGUCAUCAUUGUGUAUGAUGCCAGUGGUGGGCUUUUCUUAAGUGUUACCCCCUUAAAAUAGUUUGAAGAUUUAUGUUACAUAUAUGAAUUUUUUGCCUGUAUGCAUGUAUGUGUACCACAUGUGCGACAGUGCCCUUGAAGUUAUGAAUGGUUGUAAGUUACCAACUUGGCUUUCCUGUUUUGAUUACUAAUUCAGUCUUUCUUGGAGAUCAUCUCAAAUUAAGACUAUUUUUCUUAAGUCUGUGUAGGUAGUUUGAGUACUUUCACAAAAUAGUCCAUAUCUUUCAAGUGGUAGUGAUAAUGUAACAUUCAUAGCAUUCUUGAUGUUUGUUUGUUUGUUUGUUUUUGCAGUGUUGGUAAUAGAUUUUGGGAUUCAUUAUUGAUAGUAUUCUUUUAGAAUCUUUGGUUUCUGUAGGUUAGUAGUAAUAUCUUCUCUUUUAUUUCUGGGUUUUAUUUUAGUUCAUCUUUUCUUCUAUCAUAGCUAGAGUGUGCUUAUUUUGAGUUUUGAUUCUAUUUAUUUUUAUUCUGUUUUGAAAGUUUCUACUUCAGUGUUUAUUAUAUUCUUUCUCUUGCUAGCUUUAGAUUUAGUUUGUUCUGUUUCUUUAAGGUAUGAAGUUAUGUUAUUGAUUUGAGAUUUUUUUUUCCUUGCAAUAUCUUUCCAUGUUGCCCAGGCUGGUCUUUACUCCCGAGGCUCAGAUGAUCUUCGUUUCAGCCUCUUAGAUAGCUUGGUCCAAAGGCGUGGGCCACUGUGAGGUAUCUUUAAAGGAGCCAUUGACAGCCUCCCCCAGUAGUUCCAACCACAGAUUUAUGCCAUGGAGCCCAACUUCUCUCCCCCUUUAAAUUAAUUUUAAUGUACAUGUUUCCCUUUCAGUAUUUUAAAUACAUCACCUCACAGGACCCUCUGUGUGUGAUGUGGGCUUCUCUCUGUGUGCAGAUUUUGCAUUUAUCUCUGGAGCUUAAUGAAACUUUUGGGUAUCUUUAGACAAUUUAAAAGUUCCCAGCCAUAUGUCAGGAAUUCUUUCUGCCUUCCUCCGUUUUUCUUUCCAUUUGGCACUCUUAGGAUGAACACACAUACGUUCUUGCAGGCUCCUUCCUUUUUCUUCUUUUCAUAUUUUCCAUGUGCAGCCUCUUUUUGUAGCUUUGUAAGUGAGUGUAUGCUUGCACAGGUGCUCUGCCACUGUACUGCACCCUCAGCCAGUGUUUCCAUAGAGAUUUCCUUGAAUUCUAUAAACCUAAAUAAAGGAAAAAAUAAAAAAAAGAGAAAUAGAAUAAAAAAGAAAUAAAGAAUUUUGUCUUUAUAGAUUGUCUCUGCGGUUCUUUUAUUGCUUAGCUUGGCUAAGCGCUCUACUCUAAUGUUUUGUUUGCUUCUCUGCCUGUGCUUAGCUCCUUAUCAGUCAGAAGUGAGAGCAUUCUUGAGUCUUUCAAAGGGCUGAUGUGCCUUUAGCAAGCAUGAUACUUUCUAAGUUCUAAAGUGCGGGCAGUGCUUGAGAAGCCCUUUUUUUCCCGGGCAAGGUAUUGCCCAGCCUUUGCUGCUUUGUAAGCUUGUGCCCAGUCUUCCUUUUCUUAAAAACAUAUUUGGGAGGAAUUUCCCAUUUUUCUGUUUGAGUGACUUCUGCAUUAGGUGAAACAAACCCGAACCAUUAUUUAGUUUUUCAGAUAGGUCCCAGAAGGUCAGAACAAACAAGCUCUUCUGUUCUGCUCUUUCGGUACUAGGGGUCAGCAUCCCACCUAACACUCAGUAAGGUUGGUAGAUUGGGAGGGAGUGUAUGCAUGCUAAGAAGCUAUCCUCCUGUUUUGUGUAGCCCUAGUUGUUUAUAUAUAUAUUUCAUUAUUUGGUUGCUUUAAAGCUUUAUCUUCCAGAGUUCUGGAUUUGAUUUGGCCAGUUUAAUUUGACAUUUUGAAGUUACUGAGGAAGGUCUGACUCUUGGUGCUGCUUCCUGUAUUUCUUGCUGCUGUUCUGGAAACUGGGGUUCAGUUUUU